rnacentral:rRNA from 1 species
UACGAAGGGGGCUAGCGUUGCUCGGAAUCAUUGGGCGUAAAGGGUGCGUAGGCGGCCCUAUGGGUCAGAGGUUAAAGGCUACGGCUCAACCGUAGUAAGCCUUUGAAACUGUAGGGCUUGAGUGCAGGAGAGGAGAGUGGAAUUCCUAGUGUAGCGGUGAAAUGCGUAGAUAUUAGGAGGAACACCAGUGGCGAAGGCGACUCUCUGGACUGCAACUGACGCUGAGGCACGAAAGCGUGGGGAGCGAACAGG